AGCUUUGCGCAGUGGCAGUAUUGUAGCCAAUGAGGUUUAUCCGAGAUGCAAUUAUUGCUAAUUGAAAACUUUUCCCAAAAAUAUGGUCUUUGUAGUUAAUUUGGGUAUUUAUAAUAGUCAAAAUGAUUUAUUUUCUCACAAAAGA